GCCGCGCUCCUCCGCUGAACUGUGUCUCCUGCCUGUUUAACGGCGGGGAGAAGACACUAUAUGGCAGCGUGCUCCUCCCUCUCCCCAGCCAGGCAGCCUCAUCUGUCAACCAUUAGUUAAUCAGGGCGGGUAACGCACAAGGAGCGCAUGAAACUGGCACAGCGCGUGUGACCCAGGGGACAGCUUCACCUCUGAGAGCAGAGCAGGAGGAGGGCAAGGACCCAGGGGACCGACGGUGUCCUCCACUCUGCACUCCACUGCCAGGCUCACUCUACUCAACACUGUCUCAGGAUUGGCAGGCUGCAGUCGCGGGAUGCCCCCACCCAUUCCAUCCCAGAGGACAGCUUUGUCAGUGUCACUGUGGGGAAAAGAAGAUGUUUGCGGAGCUCAGAGGGUAAGACAUACGCCAGUGAGCUAUCGCAGGCUACUUUUACUGUUCAAGGUCCUGUUUUGCAGGGAAGUUUCAAAGACAGAAGUCAAAACCACACAUGUUGUCGACGUGGGAACAGCUGGUAAGGGCAGAGCGUUGUGGUGCGGAGGAAUGUUAGAGUCAUAGAUCUUUCAUCCUCAUGGCCAAAAUAGCCACACACAGGCCUGAUCAUCUCCAUGCAUAGGAAGAAACACUAACCAACACAAAUACAGUCCAAUCCAACCCUGGUCAAUGCGGUCCAAAUCUUGCAUCCAGAAAUCCUUAGAUAAUUACUACAUGAGUAAGUAAGUAAGUUAUAUUUAUUGAAAUUAACUGGUAUAAACUCACAAAUAGGAUUCCUUCACAAAACAGUUGGUACAAACCAAUGACAUAAGUACAGUGGGUCAAAAAAGUAUUUAGUCAGCAACCAAUUGUGCAAGUUCUCCCACUUAAAUAGAUGAGGCCUGUA